UACGUAGGGGGCAAGCGUUGUCCGGAAUCAUUGGGCGUAAAGAGCGUGUAGGCGGCCCGAUAAGUCCGCUGUGAAAGUCCAGGGCUCAACCCUGGGAUGCCGGUGGAUACUGUCGGGCUCGAGUCCGGAAGAGGAGUGUGGAAUUCCUGGUGUAGCGGUGAAAUGCGCAGAUAUCAGGAGGAACACCAAUGGCGAAGGCAGCACUCUGGGACGUGACUGACGCUGAGGAGCGAAAGCCAGGGGAGCAAACGGG
rnacentral:rRNA from 1 species